rnacentral:rRNA from 1 species
GACGUAGGGUGCAAGCGUUGUCCGGAUUUAUUGGGCGUAAAGAGCUCGUAGGCGGCUUGUUGCGUCGACUGUGAAAACCCGCGGCUUAACCGCGGGCUUGCAGUUGAUACGGGCAGGCUAGAGUUCGGUAGGGGAGACUGGAAUUCCUGGUGUAGCGGUGAAAUGCGCAGAUAUCUGGAGGAACACCGGUGGCGAAGGCGGCGUUCUGGACUGCAACUGACACUGAGAAACGAAAGCCAGGGGAGCAAACGGG